AGCUUUGUGCAGUGGCGGUAUCGUAGUCAAUGAGGUUUAUCUGAGGCGUGAUUAUUGCUAAUUAAAAUUUUCCCAAUACUCCGCUGUGACAACUUGUAAUAUAGUCGGCAUUGGCAAUUUUUGACAGUCUCUACAGAGA
rnacentral:snRNA from 1 species